rnacentral:rRNA from 1 species
UACGAAGGGGGCUAGCGUUGCUCGGAAUCACUGGGCGUAAAGGGUGCGUAGGCGGGUCUUUUAAGUCAGGGGUGAAAUCCUGGAGCUCAACUCCAGAACUGCCUUUGAUACUGAAGAUCUUGAGUUCGGGAGAGGUGAGUGGAACUGCGAGUGUAGAGGUGAAAUUCGUAGAUAUUCGCAAGAACACCAGUGGCGAAGGCGGCUCACUGGCCCGAUACUGACGCUGAGGCACGAAAAGCGUGGGGAGCAAACAGGAUUAGAUGACCCUAG